rnacentral:tRNA from 1 species
UGUAGCUCAUUGGUAGAGCAUUUACCUAUCAAGCAUGAGGCCCUGGGUUCCAUCCCCAGCA